GACGAACGCUGGCGGCGUGCUUAACACAUGCAAGUCGAACGGAAAUGCCCUGCUUUUGUGGGGUGCUCGAGUGGCGAACGUGUGUGUCACACGUGAGUAACCUGCCCUUGACUUUGGGAUAACUUCAGGAAACUGGGGCUAAUACCGGAUAGUAGCUCCUGCUGCAUGUUUGGGGUUGGAAAGUUUCGGCGGUUGGGGAUGGACUCGCGGCUUAUCAGCUUGUUGGUGGGGUAGUGGCUUACCAAGGCUUUGAAGGGUAGCCGGCCUGAGAGGGUGACCGGCCACAUUGGGGAUGAGAUCAGGCCCAGAAUCCUACGGGAGGCAGGAGUGGGGAAUAUUGCACAAUGGGCGGAAGCCUGAUGCAGAAACGCCGCGUGCGGGAUGACGGCCUUCGGGUUGUAAACCGCUUUCGCCUGUGACGAAGAGUGAGUGACGGUAAUGGGUAAAGAAGCACCGGCUAAAUACGUG
rnacentral:rRNA from 1 species